rnacentral:rRNA from 1 species
UACGAAGGGGGCUAGCGUUGUUCGGAAUUACUGGGCGUAAAGCGCACGUAGGCGGAUAUUUAAGUCAGGGGUGAAAUCCCGGGGCUCAACCCCGGAACUGCCUUUGAUACUGGGUAUCUCGAGUCCGAGAGAGGUGAGUGGAAUUCCGAGUGUAGAGGUGAAAUUCGUAGAUAUUCGGAGGAACACCAGUGGCGAAGGCGGCUCACUGUCUCGGUACUGACGCUGAGGUGCGAAAGCGUGGGGAGCAAACAGG